AUUCCAGCUCCAAUGGCGUAUAUUAAUGUUGUUGCAGUUAAAAAGCUCGUAGUUGGAUUUCUGGGUUCUUCGCUAGCUUUGGUCCGCAAGGGCUUCAGUGGGCUGUUUGAAUCCAUCCUCAGGGGGACCCAUGCUGGUAUUCAUUUAUCGGUGUGGGAACGCCUGUCGUUUACUGUGAACAAAUUAGAGUGUUCAAAGCAAGGUGUACUUGAAUACAUUAGCAUGGAAUAAUAAGAUAGGACUUUGGUGGUUCUUUUUGAUAUUUUGUUGGUUUGCACGCCAAAGUAAUGAUUAAUAGGAGCAGUUGGGGGUAUUCGUAUUCAAUUGUCAGAGGUGAAAUUCUUGGAUUUAUAGAAGACGAACUACUGCGAAAGCAUUUACCAAGGAUGUUUUCAUCA
rnacentral:rRNA from 1 species